rnacentral:rRNA from 1 species
GACAGAGGGGGCAAGCGUUGCUCGGAAUUACUGGGCGUAAAGGGCGCGUAGGCGGGAUGGCAAGUCGGUCGUGAAAUCCCUCGGCUCAACUGAGGAUCGUCGAUCGAUACUGCCGUUCUUGAGGAUUGCAGAGGAGACUGGAAUUCCCGGUGUAGCGGUGAAAUGUGUAGAGAUGUGGAGGAACACCGAUGGCGAAGGCAGCCCCCUGGGUCAAGAUUGACGCUCAUGCACGAAAGCGUGGGGAGCAAACAGG